AGAAGAUGGUAAGGGCAAACGGUGGAUGCCUUGGCACAAGAAGCCGAUGAAGGACGUGAUAAGCUGCGAUAAGCCACGGUAAGGAGCACAUAUCCUGUGACCCGUGGAUUUCCGAAUGGGUAAACCCACCAAGAGUCAUUUCUUGGUACUUCCUGCUGAAUAUAUAGGCAGGAUAGAGGUAACCGGGGGAACUGAAACAUCUAAGUACCCCGAGGAAGAGAAAUCAAACGAGAUUCCCCUAGUAGUGGCGAGCGAACGGGGAUAUAGGACAAACCGUCAGUUGCGCAAGCGCUGGCGGGGUUGUAGGACCAUUCAUUGUGGAGUUACAAAACUUCGUGGAAGCAGAAUAGCUUGGAAAAGCUGGCGAGACAGGGUAAAAGCCCCGUACGCGAAUCUGCGAAGACUCCCGAGUGGCACCUGAGUACUGCCGGACACGUGAAACCCGGUGGGAACCUGGGGGGUCCACCCUCCAAUCCUAAAUACUCUCUUGUGACCGAUAGUGAACCAGUACCGUGAGGGAAAGGUGAAAAGCACCCCUAGCGGGGAGUGAAAUAGUACCUGAAACCGUUUGCCUACAAGCAGUCGGAGCAGACUUUUGUCUGUGACGGCGUGCCUUUUGUAGAAUGAGCCAGCGAGUUACGGCAUGUGGCAAGGUUAAGCUAAAAAGCGAGCCGCAGCGAAAGCGAGUCUGAAUAGGGCGAGUGAGUCGCAUACCGUAGACGCGAAGCCAGGUGAGCUAUCCAUGAGCAGGCUGAAGCGGGGGUAAGACCCCGUGGAGGGCCGAACCCACUUAGGUUGAAAACUGAGGGGAUGACUUGUGGAUAGGAGUGAAAGGCCUAUCAAACCUGGAGAUAUCUCGUUCUCUCCGAAAUAGCUUUAGGGCUAGCCUCGGAUGUUUACCAAUGGGGGUAGAGCACUGAAUAGUUGCGGGGGCUUCACCGCCUACCAAGAUUAAUCAAACUCCGAAUACCAUUGGUCUAGAAUCCGGGAGUCAGAAUAUGUGGGCUAAGCUGUGUAUUCGAAAGGGAAACAGCCCAGACCGCCCGCUAAGGUCCCAAAAUCAAUGCUAAGUGGCAAAGGAUGUGCGUUUGCUCAGACAACCAGGAUGUUGGCUUAGAAGCAGCCAUUCAUUUAAAGAGUGCGUAAUAGCUCACUGGUCGAGUGGACAUGCGCCGACAAUAUACGGGGCUAAGCAUUGUACCGAAGCGGCGGAUCAGUACUUUGUACUGGUGGUAGGAGAGCUUUCUGUACGGGUUGAAGCAGUUGGAUAACCAACUGUGGACUGUCCAGAAGUGAGAAUGCUGGCAUGAGUAACGAGAGACAUGUAAAAAACAUGUCCGCCGUAAACCCAAGGUUUCCUGGGCAAGGCUAAUCCUCCCAGGGUUAGGCGGGAGCUAAGGCAAGGCCGGAAGGCGUAGUCGAUGCACAACAGGUAGAAAUUCCUGUCCCUCCAAAAGAGCGUUAUCACCAAUGGGGUGACGGAGCAGGGUAGCUAGGCGGGGUUCUGGACGUCCCCGUGAUGGCACGUAGGCUGAGAAGUAGUGAAAUGCGCUUCUCGUGAUGGCUGAGGUGUCGGACGAAGCAAUUGAGUGAAGCUAGUAAGCCCAUACUUCCAAGAAAAACCUCUAGGGAGCUCUGAGGAGCCCGUACCGCAAACCGACACAGGUGGGUGGGUAGAGCAUACCAAGGCGAUCGGGAGAACUAUGGUUAAGGAACUCGGCAAAAUUGCCCCGUAACUUCGGGAGAAGGGGUGCCGGUUUCGGUGAAGGGAUUUACUCCCCGAGCUAAGAUCGGUCACAGUAAAUAGGUCCAAGCGACUGUUUAUCAAAAACACAGGACUCUGCUGAAGUCGUAAGACGACGUAUAGGGUCUGACGCCUGCCCGGUGCCGGAAGGUCACGAGGAGUUGUUAGCAUUAGCGAAGCAGCGAAUCUAAGCCCCGGUAAACGGCGGCCGUAACUAUAACGGUCCUAAGGUAGCGAAAUUCCUUGUCGGGUAAG
rnacentral:rRNA from 1 species